rnacentral:rRNA from 1 species
GUAGAACGCUGAAGAGAGGAGCUUGCUCUUCUUGGAUGAGUUGCGAACGGGUGAGUAACGCGUAGGUAACCUGCCUGGUAGCGGGGGAUAACUAUUGGAAACGAUAGCUAAUACCGCAUAAAAUUGAUUAUUGCAUGAUAAUUAAUUGAAAGAUGCAAUUGCAUCACUACCAGAUGGACCUGCGUUGUAUUAGCUAGUUGGUGAGGUAACGGCUCACCAAGGCGACGAUACAUAGCCGACCUGAGAGGGUGAUCGACCACACUGGGACUGAGACACGGCCCAGACUCCUACGGGAGGCAGCAGUAGGGAAUCUUCGGCAAUGGGGGGAACCCUGACCGAGCAACGCCGCGUGAGUGAAGAAGGUUUUCGGAUCGUAAAGCUCUGUUGUAAGAGAAGAACGGGUGUGAGAGUGGAAAGUUCACACUGUGACGGUAUCUUACCAGAAAGGGACGGCUAACUACGUGCCAGCAGCCGCGGUAAUACGUAGGUCCCGAGCGUUGUCCGGAUUUAUUGGGCGUAAAGCGAGCGCAGGCGGUUAGAUAAGUCUGAAGUUAAAGGCUGUGGCUUAACCAUAGUAUGCUUUGGAAACUGUUUAACUUGAGUGCAGAAGGGGAGAGUGGAAUUCCAUGUGUAGCGGUGAAAUGCGUAGAUAUAUGGAGGAACACCGGUGGCGAAAGCGGCUCUCUGGUCUGUAACUGACGCUGAGGCUCGAAAGCGUGGGGAGCAA